rnacentral:rRNA from 1 species
AGAGUUUGAUCAUGGCUCAGGAUGAACGCUGGCGGCGUGCCUAAUACAUGCAAGUCGAACGCGAAAGGUCUGAAGCCUUCGGGCGGAGGGCCGAGUAGAGUGGCGAACGGGUGAGGAACACGUAGGUGACCUGCCCCGGAGAGGGGGAUAACCGUCGGAAACGGCGGCUAAUACCCCAUAAGCUCACGCGAGUUAGAGGGCGUGUGAGAAAAGCUCCGGCGCUCCGGGAGGGGCCUGCGGCCCAUCAGCUAGUUGGUAGGGUAAAGGCCUACCAAGGCGAAGACGGGUAGGGGGCCUGAGAGGGUGGUCCCCCACGUGGGAACUGAGACACGGUCCCAACUCCUACGGGAGGCAGCAGUAAGGAAUAUUGCACAAUGGGCGCAAGCCUGAUGCAGCAACGCCGCGUGCCCGAGGACGGCCUUCGGGUUGUAAAGGGCUUUUCUGGCUGAAGAGGAAGGACGGUAGGCCAGGAAUAAGCGUCGGCUAACUACGUGCCAGCAGCCGCGGUAAU